rnacentral:rRNA from 1 species
AACGAACGCUGGCGGCAGGCCUAACACAUGCAAGUCGAGCGCGCCCUUCGGGGUGAGCGGCGGACGGGUGAGUAACGCGUGGGAACGUGCCCUUUUCUACGGAAUAGCCUCGGGAAACUGAGAGUAAUACCGUAUACGCCCUUUGGGGGAAAGAUUUAUCGGAGAAGGAUCGGCCCGCGUUGGAUUAGGUAGUUGGUGGGGUAAUGGCCUACCAAGGCGACGAUCCAUAGCUGGUCUGAGAGGAUGAUCAGCCACACUGGGACUGAGACACGGCCCAGACUCCUACGGGAGGCAGCAGUGGGGAAUAUUAGACAAUGGGGGCAACCCUGAUCUAGCCAUGCCGCGUGAGUGAUGAAGGCCUUAGGGUUGUAAAGCUCUUUCAGCUGGGAAGAUAAUGACGGUACCAGCAGAAGAAGCCCCGGCUAACUCCGUG